rnacentral:rRNA from 1 species
AGAGUUUGAUCAUGGCUCAGGACGAACGCUGGCGGCGCGCCUAAUACAUGCAAGUCGAGCGAGAACCAGGGCUUCGGCCCUGGGGACAGCGGCGAACGGGUGAGUAACACGUGGAUAACCUGCCCUCGGCACCGGAAUAGCCCGGGGAAACCCGGAUUAAUGCCGGAUGGCCCCACAUUCCCUGCGGGGAACGUGGGAAAAGGUAGCUUCGGCCUCUGGCCGAGGAUGGGUCCGCGGUGGAUUAGCUUGUUGGUGCGGGUAAUGGCCCACCAAGGCGACGAUCCAUAGCUGGUCUGAGAGGACGAUCAGCCACACUGGGACUGAGACACGGCCCAGACUCCUACGGGAGGCAGCAGUAGGGAAUCUUGCGCAAUGGGCGAAAGCCUGACGCAGCGACGCCGCGUGCGGGAAGAAGGCCUUCGGGUUGUAAACCGCUUUCAGGAGGGACGAAGCCACUCGGGUUAACAGCCCAGAGGGUGACGGUACCUCCAGAAGAGGCCCCGGCUAACUACGUGCCAGCAGCCGCGGUAAUACGUAGGGGGCUAGCGUUGUCCGGAUUCAUUGGGCGUAAAGAGCGUGUAGGCGGCCAGGUAGGUCAGCUGUGAAAACUGGAGGCUCAACCUUCAGACGUCGGCUGAAACCAUCUGGCUAGAGUCCGGGAGAGGAGAGUGGAAUUCCUGGUGUAGCGGUGAAAUGCGCAG